UUGCGGGGGGGCUCACAUCAUGU
rnacentral:miRNA from 1 species